rnacentral:rRNA from 1 species
CCUACGGGAUGCAGCAGUGGGGAAUAUUGCACAAUGGGCGCAAGCCUGAUGCAGCCAUGCCGCGUGUAUGAAGAAGGCCUUCGGGUUGUAAAGUACUUUCAGCGGGGAGGCAGGCGAUAAGGUUAAUAACCUUGUCGAUUGACGUUACCCGCAGAAGAAGCACCGGCUAACUCCGUGCCAGCAGCCGCGGUAAUACGGAGGGUGCAAGCGUUAAUCGGAAUUACUGGGCGUAAAGCGCACGCAGGCGGUCUGUCAAGUCGGAUGUGAAAUCCCCGGGCUCAACCUGGGAACUGCAUUCGAAACUGGCAGGCUAGAGUCUUGUAGAGGGGGGUAGAAUUCGAGGUGUAGCGGUGAGAUGCGUAGAGAUCUGGAGGAAUACCGGUGGCGAAGGCGGCCCCCUGGACAAGGACUGACGCUCAGGUGCGAAAGCGUGGGGGGCAAACAGGAUUAGAUACCCCAGUAGUC